rnacentral:rRNA from 1 species
AGACGCUGGCGGCGUGCCUAACACAUGCAAGUCGAGCGGAGAUGUACUGAAGAUUUAUCGGAUGUACAUCUUAGCGGCGGACGGGUGAGUAACGCGUGGGCAACCUGCCUUCCACUGGGGGAUAACACAGGGAAACCUGUGCUAAUACCGCAUGACAUCACAUAGGGCAUCCUGUGUGAUCAAAGGAGUGAUCCGGUGGAAGAUGGGCCCGCGUCCGAUUAGCUAGUUGGUGAGGUAACGGCUCACCAAGGCGACGAUCGGUAGCCGGACUGAGAGGUUGGCCGGCCACAUUGGGACUGAGACACGGCCCAGACUCCUACGGGAGGCAGCAGUGGGGAAUAUUGCGCAAUGGGGGGAACCCUGACGCAGCGACGCCGCGUGAAGGAAGAAGGCCUUCGGGUUGUAAACUUCUUUGAUGAGGGACGAAGGAAGUGACGGUACCUCAAAAACAAGCCACGGCUAACUACGUG